UUGCCUCGGAGCCUUUUCUAUUUUUAGAAGAGGUUGACAUGGAUAGUAGGUCAUAGCAUUUAACAAGGGAAGGGCUGACACUUCCCAGACACACUGCCUGUAUUCUGCUGUGUUCUGUGGGCCCAUGACUUUCCUUACUACUCUCUUCCCUCACUUGGCAAAAAAGAAAGAGGUGGAUAGGGGACAAUCAAAAUAAUUCUUCAAACUUAUCAGAGUUUUACAUAUGGGCAUGAAAGAGCAUUGAGGACUUGGAGAAACCAUUUAAAUAUCAUCUACCACUGAAACAACACAAUCUAAACCUUCAGUUCCGGAAGAACACAAGUUAGAGAGAAAAAUAAUGCAGAAAAAGAUCAAUUACCCGAUAUUUGAGAUAAAGUAACUGUUGGAUAAAUGGACAUAGAAAAGGAGAAAUUAGAUGAAAAAUAAUUGCAAAAACAAAAAACAAAGAAAGAAGAUUGAUAAUUGAGAAGAUAGUUAUGACAAAGGGCUACCAUAAGCCACUGGGCACCUGCAGUGAAGAUAGAAGAUAAAGUCUUCCUCUAAGUAGAUACAACCCCAUGAUGUUUGAUUUCUGCUGCUUCUGUGGUGUCCAGUCAUGUGAUCAGCACCUAAUGGAAAUACUUCUCUACAGUGGCCCCAUUUGCUUGCCUGAUAAAGAAAUCAAUCCAACUGUAGGGUGUGAGGGCAGCUGUUCUCUGUAGAUUUUCAGGAUUGCUAUGGUGGGCAUCACCAUUCCAGGGAGGCAAUUAGAAGUUUCAAAAGCAGUACACUAAGGAAGAACAAGCUAGAACUAGUGUUCUCAAUUUACCUGACAUUACCAAUACUGAUCCAGAAACUGACCUAUAGUACACACUUUCAAUUACACUAGGUAUGGGAGUUCUCAUUUUGUCAAACUCCAUGAGCAUCCUGUCAAACUACUGACCAGAGGGUCCUAAAAAUACCACUAUUGGAUAAAUGAGUAGUUAUACUCAGUUUUGGGAUGGGUUUAUGUGGCUUACCCCAGAUUUUGAAUACCUAGCACCUGGGCAUCUCUAUGUUGGGAACAGAAAAAUCACUUUAAAAAGAAUCAAUCUAGUUAUACCAGGAAUAUGGGAUGGAUAUCACCAGAAUGGUGUAGUCAUUCUGCCAUAUUAAUGGAUAGCAACUGAUUUGGCAUUGACUGGUUGUAUCACCAAGUAUGCAUUAAGUGGCUCCAAAUGGGACCCAGUGUGGUUUCUACCUGGGUUGUUGGGCUGCUGUGCCCUGGGUUUUCCUGGGGACAGGAGAAAAUCUGCCCCAUGGUUACAAUUGCCAACCUCCUCCUCAAGGCAGGUAAGCAUUGUCUGUUGUCUACUGGUAUUAUCAUUUGGUUGCAGUCUUUGUCCCCUUCAUUAGGCUGGAGUACAUUAUAAUACACAUAGAAGCCUUCAUUAAGUUUACCCAGCAAACCUUAAAUGAUAGCCAAUAGAGCCUGUUCUCACUGAACACUAAGGAGAACAUCUGUCCUCCAAAAUGGUAUAGCUUUGGCCUGCCUCACAAAGAUAAACUUGUGACAUUAUACAAACAGAAUGUUGUGUGUUCAUACCUGAUGAGUCUGCUAGUGUAUCACCUCUUGUAAAUUACAUGAGGGCACAAACAAAGCCCUGAGCAAUAUGUCCCCCAGACUAGAGGGCUCAAUAAAUCAACAAUUGGGAUCAUGGGGCUGUUGGUGGAAAAAGUUGUUACUGAUCUUGAGAAUUGUUAUAGUAACCUGUGUUUUCUCUUGCACAUGCCGAUAUUGUUACUUCUGUCUCCAAUGCA